AGUGUGCUCCGAGCGGAACCGCCUAAGGGCCCGGCCUAUGGCGUACCGCCAGGGUCGCUCUGGAAACGGCGCGGCCUUCCGUCUUUGAAAAGGAGUCU
rnacentral:ncRNA from 1 species